rnacentral:misc_RNA from 1 species
GAUGAAGAACGCAGCGAAAUGCGAUAAGUAGUGUGAAUUGCAGAAUUCCGUGAAUCAUCGAGUCUUUGAACGCACAUUGCGCCUCAUGGCAUUCCGUGAGGCAUGCCCAUCUCAGCGUUAGAAAAUAUUCUCAAAUUUUAGUUUUGUGCUAAAAUUUGGAUCAUGUCAAAGAAGCUAUUACUAUUAUUGUGAUCGCUCUUUGGAAAUUGAUAGGUCUUUGAGUUGCUACUCAUAGAACGUGAUGAAUCUUUCUUCGUUCUAUUGUAAUUCACUCUGGUAGUCCUAAAACUUGUAUGCCUGUGGCAUAUCUUGUAAUUUGACCUGAGAUUGGGUAGGGAUACCCACUGAACUUAAGCAUAUCAAUAAGCGGAGGA